rnacentral:rRNA from 1 species
UACGUAGGGGGCAAGCGUUGUCCGGAUUUAUUGGGCGUAAAGAGCGUGUAGGCGGCCAUGUAGGUCCGUUGUGAAAACUCGAGGCUCAACCUCGAGACGCCGAUGGAAACCAUGUGGCUAGAGUCCGGAAGAGGAGGGUGGAAUUCCUGGUGUAGCGGUGAAAUGCGCAGAUAUCAGGAAGAACACCUAUGGCGAAGGCAGCUCUCUGGGACGGUACUGACGCUGAGACGCGAAAGCGUGGGGAGCGAACAGG